rnacentral:misc_RNA from 1 species
AAGGACACACUGUUCACUGCAUAUCUCUGCUUUCCAUUGACUUGGCCAGCAGAACUUGCGAGCCUGAUAGUUCUGGUUGUGUUAAUCAUACCAUAGUGGUAUGAGCCUUGUGGAUUUGGUCUUGGUCCACUUGCAGUAAGAUUGGUUCUAAUUGAGCGGGCCUGGUUAAGAGACCAGUCAAUUUGAAUGGUGGGUCCACCAGGGGGUGGACCAGAGACACGGCCAGCAGAGUUACUGUAGUGAAGAACACCCGUGGUGGUAAGGAUCGGAGUAGUGAAGCGAGAGGAAACCACAAUGUAGUAGUCCAGGCCAGGCUGAUCAGCUGUUACUAGAACAGAGUAAGAUUGGCCAACAUGAACGUCAAGUGAAGAGUAGGUGGUCUGGAGAGUAUGUGUUCCCUCCACUUCUACCAACUUCAUUUUAUGGUUCUGAAUGCGAAAGUUGAGUGAAUGUUG